ACGUGAAUACAUCCCAAGUGCAAAAUUUGUUCCCUAGGGAGCGAGUUACCGGGGCCCGCCACACAGGGCGUGAAGUGAUUCUGGGCGUUUGUACGUGGCAUCGUCAGGAAUGUGGAGCUGGGCAGGGAGGUGCAAAAAAAUGCUGACCGUGGGCUCAGCAUGAAACAGCCCUUCCCCAUAGCUCCCAAGUAGGAACACCAGUGUCUCGGAAUGUGUUACUCUUAAAUUCCAUCCCAGCUGCACGGCCCACAUUGGCCCCACCCAGGCUGGCAGGGAAGGGGUGGGCUGGGGCCAGUCGCCAUCUUUCCAGUCCCACCUCAGGGCAUGGGGGUCAGGCAGAUGUCUGUGAAUGUCUGUUGGAAAGCGUGGGCCUUGCACUUUCGUGCAUUGCUGGUCCCCACACCUGACUGCCUUCACCCUCCCGGGAGAGAGUUGUAGCCUCUGUGCAAAUGCUGCCCGAUCCUGAAGAUGUAGCAGCCGAAGGCUGUCGGGCACCUGUGCCCUCCGGCAACGGUCUCCUGAAGGGAAAGGGGAACAGCCCACCUGCAUGCAUGGCACUGAGAAGCCAGUGCUUUGGAUCCAGAAAGAUCCGACUGACUGGUCACAUGACCACAGGCACCAGAUAUGCAGGUGAGCCCUUUUGGAUGGGCUAGUCCAGUAGAGGUCCCAGAGGACUGAAGCCUGACCUGACAUCACCGUGAGCAGAAGACCCUCCCAGCUUGCUAUGUAACUUUCAUAUUCAACAAGGGAUGCCCACCCCCACAACUGGAAAAUAUGGUGAGGUGACUAUGAUGAGUUGGGGAAAGAAUUAUUUAGGUCAUGGAAGAGGUGGGUUCAAAUCUAGACUCUCUCAUUUACUAGCUAGGAUACUUGGGGCAAAUUACUUAGCCAGGCUCUUUCAGGUUCAAUUGUCACUAAUUGUCGUAACAAAAUACUUUCUGAGAGCUUGCUACUUACUACGUUGAGAACUUUAUACAUAUCCUUUUGUUUUAAUCCUCAUUUUAUUCCCACAAGAUAGAUGCUGUUAUUACAGGACCCAGAGAGGUUAAAAAGGAUGUCCGAGGACACAUGACUGGUAAGUAGCAAUGAAAACCCAGGCUGUGUGACUUCAUGGCCUGAGCUCUUGCCAUAUAUUGGAAUAAUAAUAUUUCCUCACUAGCUUGUUCUGAAGACUACCUUAUUUAUCAUGUGAAAGCAGAAAGCAGCUGGAGUGGUGACUGACACACAGGAUUGUUUUCAAUCAUUGAUUGAUGAUUUUUCAACUCAGGUACUUUCUGACUCCAGAUCAAUCCUUUCCUAAAUCCUGACACUGUGCUGACAGGAACACAAAAGAGACAAAAUGUCUAACAGUGUUCUGCAAUGUUCCCAGUCAUACUUAAGCAGCGAUGGUAACGAAUAAAUAUGUAUACAGUGCCAUAAUAAGAUGUGCGUCCUAUGACCUGAGCUUGCUUCCUAGAAUCACCAUGAAGUUGGGCAUUCUACAGCUGUUUAUAGAAAGAUGCAAAAAGUUACAUCAGAUAACACUACUCUUCACCACUGUUACUGUAAGAUUGCUCAGAUCUCACCCGAGAACUUAGUAAUAAUGUGGCUAAUAGUCACGACAACCAAAAUGGCGCUUAAUAUUUCUGCAGUAGGUUUUCAUGGGGAAGUCUUCAAGCCAGAUCCUUGUACUCAUCCUUCUAUUCAGCUUCACUGUUCAGUUUAUCUUGCUCUGCUUCUGGUGGCAUUUGACAUUGCUGGGUCCUCCCACCCACCUGCCUUCCAGGAUAUCAGCUCUCCCAGUUUGUUCACCCUGGAAAAAGGUCUUCUUGAUCUGACUGGUUUUUUAAUCUCUGCCCAGCCCUUAAAAGUUGAAGCUGCUACUUUUGAGGCAAAGCACUACUCAUCCAUUAAUUCAUUCACCCAUUCAUUGGGGACUUCUCAAAUACCUACGAGGUGCUUUGGAUACAGCUGUGAAUGGAUCAGACUUUAUGGAACUUCCCUGCUUUUUAAAGGUGAGACAGAUAAUGAAAUAAAUCUGUAAAUUAUAUAGUGUGAUAGAUGAUGGUAAGCAGUAGGAAGAGAAGUAAAAUGGGAAAGGAGGAAGGGUAAUUACUAGAGUUUGAUCCUAAAUAGGUGGUCAGGGCAGUUCCCACUAAGAAGAUAUUUACCCAAGGGCUUGAAACCAUGGAGGGAGUGUGCUCUGUCGCAUCUGGGGGAAAAACGUUAAAGGUAGAGGAAACAGUGAGUACCAAGGCUCUGAGGAGGAGCCUGCCUGGGGGAGUUUGAGGACUAUCGGAGAGGCACAUGUGGCACCUGACUUCGGCUCAGGUCAUGAUCUCUCGGUCCGUGGGUUCAAGCCCCAGAGCCUGGAGCCUACUUUGGAUUCUCUUUCUCUGCCCCAACUCUGCUCGCACUGUCUCUCUGUCUCUCUCUCAAAAACAAAUAAACAUUAAAAAAAAAAAAGAAAAAGAGAGGCAUGUGUGGAGUUGGUGAGUGAGUGAGUGAGUGAGCAGGAGUGUGUGGAAAAGGAGGUCAGGGGAGGGCACCUCCUCACACUGUUGUGAGGACACUGGCUUUUAACCAUUUUGGGGCUUUGAGUAGAGGGGUUGUAUCUGACUCAUGUUUUAAAAGGAUCACUUUAGGUGAUCACCUUUUUUUUUUUUAAUGUUUAUUUAUUUAUUUUUGAGAGAACUCAAGCGGGGGGUGGGCAGAGAGAGAGAGAGAGAGGGAGACAGAGAAUCCAAAGCAGGUUCCACAUUGCCAGCACAGAGCCCGACGUGGGGCUUGAACUCAGGAACUGUGAGAUCAUGACUUGAGCUGAAGUCGGAAGCUCAACCGACUGAGCCAUCCAGGUGCCCCCAGGUGAUCACCUUUUCAGGUCAAGGUGACCAUAGUCAUCUUUUUAGGUGACUGUGGCGGGGCCAGGGCGGCAGAAGGGGGAAGUAGAAAGACCAGUUUGGAGAUUAUUCUAACAUCGAGGUACAAGAAGAACAUGGCGACUUGAUUUAGGGAGGUGGCUUGCAAGUGGGGUUCAUCCCCCAUUAUAGUCCCAGCUCAGCUACUAAUGUGUGCAGUAGACAGGUCUGCCCUAAUUGUUUCAGGAACAGGGGCAAGAGCGCAAAUGGAGGUCCUCAAACAUUUGAAAGGUUUAAUCAAUCUAACAAACUUUUAAAUAACAUUACUUCAUUCCUCCUGACAUGGCAAUAUACCUUCAUAAUGGCAGAAUAAAAAAUUAUUGUUAGGGUACAAUCACGUUUCCCUGCAGCCACCGAGGUGAUUGCACAUCCCACAGAGUGAGAGCUUGCUGCUUUCACCCUGGCUGCGCACGGCCCAGGAGCAUGUGCAGAGAACCCACAUGAGCCGACCCUGAACAACGCAUUCUCCUUUCUCACCUUCCAUCAGGAUGUACACCCCUUUCUUCUUUGCAAACGUGAGUUGGGUCCUAGAUAUGGUUGCUGCCUGGGGUCCAAAUCAGAGGGGGCUAAGGUUACUUUCCCACCUUUCAGGAAUGGCAAUGUUUCUCUAGACAGUGGGUCUGGUCUCUCUGCAGGGAGAACCAGGUUUUGGUCCCAUUGGGUGAGUCCUUUUUUUAAAAAAAAAAAAAAACAGCUUUACUUGGGGGGAGGCACCUGGGUGGCUCAGUCGGUUAAGCAUCUGACUUUGGCUCAGGUCGUGAUCUUACAGUUUCAGGGGUUCCAGCCCCGCGUCGGGCUCUGUGCUAACAGCUCAGAGCCUGGAUCUUGCUUUGGAUUCUGUGUCACCCUCUCUCUGCCUUUCCCCUGCUCGCACGCUCUCUCUGUCUUUAAAAAAAAUAAACAUAAUAAAACCCCCAGCUUUGUUGGGAUAUAAUUGAUCUACAAAAUUCAUCUGUUUAAAAUGUACAUUUCAGCAAUUUUUAGUAUAUUCACAGAACCGUGCAUCUAUCGCUGCUGUUCGUUUUAGAGUAUUUAUAUAAACUCCCAGAGAAAUACUAUCCCUAUGAGCAGUCCCCCUCCCUCUCUCCCUCUCUUCCCCUGAAGCCCUACACAACCACGAAUCUACUUUCCAUUUCUGUAGCUUUGCCAGCCAUGGGCAUUUCAUAUCAAUUGGAAUCAUAUAGUAGGUGUUCUUCUGUGAUUGUCUUCUUUCACUUAGCAUAAUUUUUGCAAAGUUCAUCCAUGUUGUAGCACGAAUCAGUCCUUCAUUCCUUUUUAUGGCUGAAUAAUAUUUAAUUGUAUGGAUAGACCACAUUGAUGUACUCAUUCAUCCAUUGGGCCUUUGGAUGGUUUCUGUUUUUUGGCUGUUGUGAAUAGCGCUGCUCUGACCAUUUGUGAACGCAUUUGUGAUUGAACAUGUGUUUUUAUUUCUCUUGGGUAGGUAGGUACCUGGAGUGAAAUUGCUCAGUCGUUGCGAGGAAUUGCCAAGCUGUUUGUGCCAAGCCACAAAUGAAGGUUCCGGUUUCUCCAUAUUCUCACCAAUCUGUCUUUGAUCGUAGCCACCCUAGUGAUUGUAACGUGGUGUCUUGUGGUUUUGAUUUGCAUUUCCAUGAUAAGUAAUGGUGUUGGGCAUCUUUUCAUAUGCUUAUUGGCUAUUUGCAUAUCUUCCCUGGAGAAAUGUGUAUUCAGAUCCUUUGCCUUUUGAAAAAAUUGGAUUGUCUUUUUAUUUUUAGUUAAAUUUUAGUUAGUUAACAUACAGUGCAAUAUUGGUGUCAGGAGUAGAAUUCAGUGAUUGAUCACUUACAUACAACACCCAGUGCUCAUCACAAGUGACCUCCUAAUACCCAUCACCCAUCUAGCCGAUCUCCCACCCACCUCCCUCCAUCAACCCUCAGUUUGUUCUCUAUUGUUAAGAGAGUCUCUUGUGAUUUGUUUCCCUCUCUCCUCUUCCCUGUUUCCGUAUGUUCAUCUGUUUUGUUUCUUAAUUUCCACAUGAGUGAAAUCGUAUGGUAUUUGUCUUUCUUUGACUGACUUAAUUCACUUAGCAUAAUACAUCCUAGCUCCAUCUAUGUCAUUGAAAAUGGCAAGAUUUUAUUCUUUUUGAUAGCUGAGUUAUAUUCCAUUAUUGUAUGUGUGUGUGCAUCUAUAUCUAUCUAUCUAUCUAUCUAUCUAUCUAUCUAUAUCAUCUAUCUAUCUAUAUACCUAUAUCUAUAUAUAGAUACAUAUAUCACAUCUUCUUUAUCUAUCAUUGAUUGUGGACAUUUGGGUUCUCUCCAUAGUUUGGCUAUUGUUGAUAAUGCUGCUGUAAACAAAAAUCUGUAUUCUUGUAUCCUUUGGGUAAUUACCUAAUAUGCAAUUGAUGGGUCAUAGGAUAGUUUUAUUUUCAGUUUUUUGAGGAACCUCCAUACUGUUCUCCAGGGUGGCUGCACCAGUUUGCAUUCCCACCAACAGUGCAAGAGGGUUCCCCUUUCUCUGCAUCCUCACCAACAUCUGUUGUUUCUUGUGUUGUUAGCUUUAGCCAUGAGGUGGUAUCUCAUCAUGGUUUUGAUUUAUAUUUCCCUGAUGAUGAGCGAUGUGUCUGUUAGUCACCUGGAUGUCUUCUUUGGAAAAGUGUCUAUUCAUGUCUUCUUCCCAUUUCAUAACUGGGUUAUUUGGUUUUGGGUGUUGAGUUUGAUAAAUUCUUUAUAGAUUUUGGAUACUAACCCUUUAUCAGAUAUGUCAUUUGCAAAUAUCUUCUUCCUUUCUGUAGGCUUUUAGUUUUGUUGAUUGCUUCCUUUGCUGUGCAGAGCUUUUUAUUUUGAUUAAGUCCCCAUAGUUUAUGUUUGCUUUUGUUUGCCUUACCUCCAGAGACAUGUCAGGUAAGAAGUUGCUGCAGCCAAGGUCAAAGAAGUUGUUGCCUGUUUUCUCCUCUAGGAUUUUGAUGGCUUCCUGUCUUAUGUUUAGGUCUUUCAUCCAUUUUGAAUUUAUUUUUGUGCACAGUGUAAGAGAGUGGUCCAGUUUCUUUUGCAUGUUGCCAUCCAAUUUUCCCAACACCAUUUGUUGAAGAGCCUGACUUUUUCCCAUUGGAUAUUCUUUCCUGCUUUGUCAAAGAUUAGUUGACCAUAUAGUUGUGGGUCCAUUUCUGGGGUUUCUAUUCUGUUCCAUUGAUCUGCAUCUGUUUUUGUGUCAGUACCAUACAUUUGGCAAAAUACAGCAUCAAUUCUUGAUAAAAAUCCUCAACAAAGUAGGGAUAGAUGGAACAUACUUCAUCACCAUAAAGACCACAUACAAAAGAGCCAUAGCUAUUAUCAUCCUAAAUGGGGAAAAACUGAGAGCCUUUCCCCUAUGGUCAGGGACAAGACAAGGAUGUCCACUCUCACCAUUACUACUUAACAGUACUGAAAGUCUUAGCCUCAGUAAUCAGACGACAAAAAGAAAUAAAAAGCAUCUAAAUCAGCAAGAAAGAAGUCAAACUAUCACUAUUUGCAGACAACAUGAUACUCUGUAGAAAACCCAAAAGACUCCAUCAAAAAUUGCUAGAACUAAUACAUGAAUUCAGUAAAGUCUCAGGAUAUAAAAUCAAUGUGCAGAAAUCUGUUGCAUUUCUUUUUUUUUUUUAAUUUUUUUUCAACGUUUAUUUAUUUUUGGGCCAGAGAGAGACAGAGCAUGAAUGGGGGAGGGGCAGAGAGAGAGGGAGACACAGAAUUGGAAACAGGCUCCAGGCUCUGAGCAAUCAGCCCAGAGCCUGACGCGGGGCUCGAACUCCCGGACCACGAGAUCGUGACCUGGCUGAAGUCGGACGCUCAACCGACUGCGCCACCCAGGGGCCCCAUAAAAUCUGUUGCAUUUCUAUAAACCACUAACAAAGCAGCAGAAAAAAAAUCAAGGAAUUGAUCCCAUUUGCAAUUGCACCAAAAGCAAUAAGAUACUUAGGAAUAAACCUAAUUAAAGAGAUAAAAUAUUUGUACUCAGAAAACUAUGGAACACUUGUGAGAGAAAUUGAAGACGAUACAAAGAAGUGAAAAAACAUUCCAUACUCAUGGGUCGGUAGUCUAUACUACCCAAAGCAAUCUACACAUUUAAUGCAAUCCCUAUCAAAAUACCACCAGCAUUUUUUACUCAGGUAGAACAAACAAUCCUAAAAUUUGUAUGGAAUCACAAAAGACCCCAAAUAGCCAAAGCAAUACUGAAAAAGAAAAACAAAAACUGGAGGCAUCAUGAUUCCAGAUUUUAAGCUAUAUUACAAAGCUGUAGUCAUAAAAUUGGGUUGUCUUUUUAUUGCUGAGUUGUAAGAGUACUUAAUGUAUUCUGGAACUAGUCCUUUAUCAUGAUUUGCAAAUAUUUUCUCCCAUUCUAUGGGUUACCUCUUCACAUUCUUUUUUUUUUUUUUAAUUUUUUAAUGUUUGUUUUUGACAGAGAGAAAGAGAAGGACAGAGCAUGAGUGAGGGAGACAUAGAAUCUGAAGCAGGCUCCAGGCUCUGAGCUGUCAGCAAAGAUCUUGAAGCAGAGCAUGAACCCAUGAACUGUGAGAUCAUGACCUGAGCCGAAGUCGGACACUUAACUGACCAAGCCACCCAGGCACCCCACCUCUUCAUAUUCUUAAUUCAGCUUUGUUAUUUUUUUUAGGUUUUGGAAAACUGUCUGGGCCCUGGUACUUCUGACCCUCAUACAGACACAGAGCAUUAGAGAAAGGAACAAACAUUUAUUAAGCAUGCUUCAUGAGUUAUUCAUUUUAAUGUCCACAUAGGCCAAUGGUAUAUAUUUGUUGGUUCCCCUGUACAGUGAUAAAGCUGAAUCUCAGAAACAGGAAGGCAUCUUGGCCAAUGUCUCCCAACUAGUAGGAAUGUAAAAAGAGAUUUAAACCAAUAGACUUUUUAUUAUAAAUCCAUGCUUUUUACUCUAGCUAGUAAAUCCCCUCCUAUCGUAAUAAGUUGACCCUAGAUUCAUCAGAAUUAUAAAAAUAUAAUACUGAUAUGAAAAAACAAUUAAGGGCUUGGCCUGAGAAACCAUUCAUCUAACGUCACCUCCAUUGACAGGAGUGGGUAUUGUGUGUACCUGGGAGCCUGGCCUGGGAAUGAGAAAUCUCAAGUGAGGGCACGUGAGUAUUGUUGAUAAGCCAUUGUGUUUGCUCUUCCUUUUUGAGGGUGUUGGGGCAGCAACACAUGGCAACUAUUUAUUACUCCACUUGGCAUUGCAGUCUGGGAGCUGGCAAAGUGGGUCUGUAGGGCAUGCUGGGAUACUCAUUAUUGCAGGGAGAUCAAGAAGCUUGAAAUCAGCAGCUGGCCUGGAUUUCCUGGUGAGAUUAGGGGGACAGAUAUUGCUGGGAGGGAAAAGGGCCAUGGGUAAAGUCUUGGGCCAAUGAAUGACUGUGGAAGGCCGAGAAAGCCAGCUUCAAACAAUCCUCUUUCUCUGGAACAUGAUGUUGGGGGUGUUUGAUAACAUAGGAUCUCAAGAUUGAAAUGACAAAGUUGUAUGGAAAGGAACUCUCCUGGAAAUGAGGUCCUUUACUUCAGCCCACAAUCUUUUUUUUCUUGGAAAAUUUACCAGAUGAUCUCUUAAAUCAUGCAUUUAAAAUAUUCUCUAAAUACGCUUUCCUAAAACUCCCAGGUCUGUUGGAAAUGACCAUUGUUGGAGAUAAGGAUUGAGUAGCUGAUUUUCCUGUCUACCCAACAUGCCUCCCUGUUUCCAGUCACCUUUUUAAUCUGGCACAAUCAGCAGAGACCAGCAGAGCAGAUGGUGUGCACUGGCCAGUGGUGUGCAUUCAGUUAGUGGGGUGAUUUUUGAGGAAGAAUUAAAAAGCCUUCAAGUGCUUUCCACAUAUAUAUGAGUCUUUUCCAACUCUGCAUUACAGAACUGUAUAGGGGUACCUGUGAUGGUGGUUUGCUAAACUCUGAUAUAACUGAAGGAGUAGGGUUUGCCAAGGCUCAGGAGCCCCUGUUCAAAUAAGAUACUCUAAACCACUAAUUCUUUCAACAGACAAUUAUUAGGCACAGAGUAUCGUGCUGGUACCAGAUACCAUGUUAGGUGUUCUGAAUCACAAUAGAUUUGAAGGCAUGGCCCUUACAUUCAUGCUGCUGACUGUGUAGUGGGUAGAGGGUGCCAUGGAGGGGUAAAUAAAUUGACUAGUAUAGCUCAGUCAGGAGAUAAAGUGUUCUAUUCUCUGAGAAAGCAGAUCCAAAUCAAAUUGGGAGGAUCAGGGGUGACAUCCAGGAGAAACUGACUUUUUAAUUUUAAGAGCUGCCCUUAAGAUAUUUUCUAAAUGCUGUGCUGUUUCUUGAGGCAACACAAACAAACAAACAAAGUCUAGAAAUCAUGACACUCCUACAUGUCUUGGUGGGUGUACCAAGAAUGCAAGCCCCUGACUUCUCCUUACCUAGCCAAAUCUCAGACUUGUGUUUGUAGUGAGUAUCCUUGAUGGAUGAAGUAAUAACUCACUCUAGGACAAAGAGUAGGCAAGCUUACUGCUUGCUAUAAAAGUAGUAGAUUCCCUAAACUCUGUGCCCCUCAGCUGCAGUACAGACCCACUCUGUGCCAAGCAUCCCUCUGGGCCUGAUUCCAUUGCCACGUGGACUUUGGGGGGCCGGCAUCUGAUGCAAACGUGCUGCUACCCAUGCUGCUUGCUGUGCUGUGAGCAAUAAUGUUCUUCAUCUCUGACCCAGGAGUCUCACAUCUUCUGCCAACAUCCAUGAAAUAGUAACAUGAUAAGUUAUUAACUUGUACAAUCCGAGGCCCAGCAGUGCCUCUUUCACCAUGUGAGGAAAUGCUCUUUCUGUGUUAUGCUUGGUUAGAAAGGAAGAAAGAGGCCCCAUGGUCAGGUUGCUUGGACCCCCACAGUGUUCAGACAAAUAAAAAUACAGUUCUCCCUGAGCUGCUGCCAUCAUGGUGCUGGUGGGAGAUGAUCUGAAAUGAAAUGAGAUGACUUACUCUAGAGCAAAGGUUUCCAAAGUUUUUCAUUUUGAUAGUGGGACCAUUUUUUUUUCUUAAAUAAUUUAUAAGAAACACCAAUAUAUUUGAAGAACACAAAAUGUCCUCUUAAAGGAUAAAUGUUGGGACUUGCAAGCUACUUACUUUUUGUAAUUUAGAUGUAUUUCAGCAAAGAACAUUGAUAAUUCUAUUCUGCUGGUAGUCAACCUGUAAGACAGCCUAGGUAUCCCUGUACUAGUUUAAAUACAAGGAGCUUGGCAGUGGAAGGCUCUUGCCAGGAAAGGCAGCUGUAUCUUCACUCACAGGCUUCACGGAGAGGCAUUUACCUUUGUCAAUGUGCCACAUUCUACUGUCUGGCCUUCAGUUUUGUGGAUUCAGAGACUUGAUUUAUUAGCUCAGCAGGAGUGACUUUCGAGGGCUGACUCACAUUAGCUGUGCGUAGAAGGCUGAUGUACAAACCAGCAUCACUUUUGUUCCAACUAGAGAAAGGGCCCCUUCUCCUUGGCCAAAACUGUCCUGCACCAAGGGCUUGAUGAGAGAAAUUCAUGAGAAUCAUCAGACACCUCCCCUCCACUGAGCACCUUGUGCGGCACCAUCUAUAUAGAUGCUGUUGGUGGCGCACAGCACUUCAGCUCUGUUUAAUGCCAACAUCUGCAGCUGGACGCUGAGCUCCCGAGGAAGUGACUAUGUCCUAUUUGUCCUUUGAAAAAACUUUUGAAAUAUUUGCAUUUAUUAAAUAAUUGAAAUAUGGUUCCAUUGUUGGCAGAAUUCCUGAAAUAGCAACUGACUCACAGUUUGAGAUUCAGGGGUAUACAAGAUUGGGCUAAAAUCCAUACCACUUGUAGGAAGAUAUGAACUUAAAAUAUAGUACGAUAACAAUAACAUCUUAAGUUAUAUACCUGUUAUGGUUUCCAUGUAUUUUAACAUAUAUGUCUCUUCUGUUCCUUGAAACAGACUAGUACAGCAGGCGUUUAUUUCUAAAAGAAUAGAGCUUUUCUGACUUAGAAAAUACUUUUACACAUGUUAGCACAUUUGAUCUUGGUGUGUGUGUGUGUGUGUGUGUGUGUGUGAUUAUAACAGUCCUGUGAGGCUUAUCGGAUAGGUUUCCUUUAUUUUAUGGUUGGGACACUGAGAGAGAGGUUGUCUGACCAACUCGAGGUGACACAGCUCAUAGAUCUUAGAGUCGGAUUAGAAAUCCAGCUCUCUUUCCUCCUGUCUGUUUGUGAUAUAUGUAGUUUGGCUUUUGGAGGCGAGUGCUAUUCCUCAUUAAAGGCUGAUGGGUGGAGCUGUCCCAGGAAGGAGGUGGACCUUACAUGUGGCUGCUGUAUGAGCUCAGCUCUGGAUGGCUUUUCCUGUUUAAUAAACUGUGUUAACUUUACUAGCACUUGUUCUUGGCUCCACUACACAGCAGUGGUUUAGGCAAUGGAUUGGAAAAAUGUGCUAAUUGCGAGCUCUAAUUUUCUUCCAUCUUAAAAUAAAUACUUAGCAUUUUAGUACUUGGAGUGAGGCAUGACACAGUGUUGCUGGGGACUCAUAGCAAUUGGUGGCUCAAGAGACCGGCUGGAGGGUGUGGGGACAGAAUGGGAAAGGGUAGAGAAA